AGAAAGUUGAAAGGCGCUUUUGCGUCACUGAUGGAUGGACCCGCGGUGCAUUAGCUAGUUGUUGAGGUAACGGCUCACCAAGGCCACGAUGCAUAGCCGACCUGAGAGGGUGAUCGGCCACACUGGGACUGAGACACGGCCCAGACUCCUACGGGAGGCAGCAGUAGGGAAUCUUCGGCAAUGGACGAAAGUCUGACCGAGCAACGCCGCGUGAGUGAAGAAGGUUUUCGGAUCGUAAAACUCUGUUGUUAGAGAAGAACAAGGAUGAGAGUAGAACGUUCAUCCCUUGACGGUAUCUAACCAGAAAGCCACGGCUAACUACGUGCCAGCAGCCGCGGUAAUACGUAGGUGGCAAGCGUUGUCCGGAUUUAUUGGGCGUAAAGCGAGCGCAGGCGGUUUCUUAAGUCUGAUGUGAAAGCCCCCGGCUCAACCGGGGAGGGUCAUUGGAAACUGGGAGACUUGAGUGCAGAAGAGGAGAGUGGAAUUCCAUGUGUAGCGGUGAAAUGCGUAGAUAUAUGGAGGAACACCAGUGGCGAAGGCGGCUCUCUGGUCUGUAACUGACGCUGAGGCUCGAAAGCGUGGGGAGCGAACAGGAUUAGAUACCCUGGUAGUCCACGCCGUAAACGAUGAGUGCUAAGUG
rnacentral:rRNA from 1 species